rnacentral:rRNA from 1 species
GUAUUUGUUAAGUUCUUGAAACCCAAAGGAUUUGGCGGUAUUUUAGUCUUUUUAGAGGAACCUGUCCCUUAAUCGAUAGUCCACGAUUUUAUUUACUUGGUCUUGUUUAUCAGUUUGUAUACCUCCGUCAUAAGGAUGUCUUUUUAGAGUUAAUUUCCUAUUCUAUUAAAUAUAGAUAUGUCAGGUCAAGGUGCAGCUAAUGAUCAAGUGGAGAUGGGUUACAAUAAAUUUAUUUAUACGGAAAAUUUGGUAUUAUUACCUAAUUGAAGGUGGAUUUAAAAGUAAACUUAUUAAUUUGGUUUUUUGAUUUUAGCUCUAAAAUAUGCAC